rnacentral:rRNA from 1 species
UACGUAGGGCGCAAGCGUUAUCCGGAAUUAUUGGGCGUAAAGAGCUCGUAGGCGGUCUGUCGCGUCUGCUGUGAAAACUCGGGGCUUAACCCCGGGCCUGCAGUGGGUACGGGCAGACUAGAGUGCGGUAGGGGAGAUUGGAAUUCCUGGUGUAGCGGUGGAAUGCGCAGAUAUCAGGAGGAACACCGAUGGCGAAGGCAGAUCUCUGGGCCGUAACUGACGCUGAGGAGCGAAAGCAUGGGGAGCGAACAGG